rnacentral:rRNA from 1 species
GACGUAGGGGGCCAGCGUUGUUCGGAAUUACUGGGUGUAAAGGGUUCGUAGGCGGUGCGGCAAGUCGGGAGUGAAAUCUCUGGGCUUAACCCAGAGGCUGCUUCCGAAACUGCUGUGCUUGAGUGUGGGAGAGGCGCGUGGAAUUGCAGGUGUAGCGGUGAAAUGCGUAGAUAUCAGGAGGAACACCGGUGGCGAAGGCGGAUCUCUGGGCCUUACCUGACGCUGAGGCGCGAAAGCUAGGGGAGCGAACAGG